rnacentral:rRNA from 1 species
UACAGAGGAGCCAAGCGUUGUCCGGAUUGACUGGGCGUAAAGCGCACGCAGGCGGUUGCGCGCGUGGGGGGUGAAAUCUGGCCGCUUAACGGCCAGGCGCCAUCCCAUACGGCGCGACUGGAGUGAUGCAGAGGUCGAUGGAAUUGCCGGUGUAGUGGUGAAAUGCGUAGAGAUCGGCAGGAACACCUGUGGCGAAAGCGGCGCACUGGACCACAACUGACGCUGAGGCGCGAAAGCUAGGGGAGCAAACAGG